GACGAACGCUGGCGGCGUGCUUAACACAUGCAAGUCGAACGCUGAAGCUUGGUGCUUGCACUGGGUGGAUGAGUGGCGAACGGGUGAGUAAUACGUGAGUAACCUGCCCUUGACUCUGGGAUAAGCCUGGGAAACUGGGUCUAAUACUGGAUACGACAUGUCACCGCAUGGUGGUGUGUGGAAAGGGUUUUACUGGUUUUGGAUGGGCUCACGGCCUAUCAGCUUGUUGGUGGGGUAGUGGCUCACCAAGGCGACGACGGGUAGCCGGCCUGAGAGGGUGACCGGCCACACUGGGACUGAGACACGGCCCAGACUCCUACGGGAGGCAGCAGUGGGGAAUAUUGCACAAUGGGCGGAAGCCUGAUGCAGCGACGCCGCGUGAGGGAUGACGGCCUUCGGGUUGUAAACCUCUUUCAGCACGGAAGAAGCGAAAGUGACGGUACGUGCAGAAGAAGCGCCGGCUAACUACGUG
rnacentral:rRNA from 1 species